rnacentral:rRNA from 1 species
GACGAACGCUGGCGGCGUGCUUAACACAUGCAAGUCGAACGGAAAGGCCCUGCUUUUGUGGGGUGCUCGAGUGGCGAACGGGUGAGUAACACGUGAGUAACCUGUCCUUGACUUUGGGAUAACUUCAGGAAACUGGGGCUAAUACCGGAUAGGAGCUCCUGCUGCAUGGUGGGGGUUGGAAAGUUUCGGCGGUUGGGGAUGGACUCGCGGCUUAUCAGCUUGUUGGUGGGGUAGUGGCUUACCAAGGCUUUGGCGGGUAGCCGGCCUGAGAGGGUGACCGGCCACAUUGGGACUGAGAUACGGCCCAGACUCCUACGGGAGGCAGCAGUGGGGAAUAUUGCACAAUGGGCGGAAGCCUGAUGCAGCAACGCCGCGUGCGGGAUGACGGCCUUCGGGUUGUAAACCGCUUUCGCCUGUGACGAAGCGUGAGUGACGGUAAUGGGUAAAGAAGCACCGGCUAACUACGUG